ACCUGGAACUCCAGCUCAUGAAACCAUUACAGACGCAAAUGAUGAGAGAAUGGUACAUAUGACUGCUACUACAAUUAUGAACACACUUGAAAAGAGCCCUGCAAGAGAUUGUACAGAGAUGAGCUAGCUUUAAUACAGUUAAACUAGAUUAUAUUAUAACUUUGUCGCUCUUAGCCAUGAUAUUUGCAUCAAGAGACGGCUCUAGAAUCUAGAUUUGAUUGUUCAAUCUUUAAGUUCUUACCAUAGUAUUCAUUGUAAAUUAUGGGUUCAGAAUUUAAUAGUAUUUUUUAUUGAAAUUUCACUAACUUUCCACAUAUAUUUAUGUGUCAAAAUUACUGGGUUCAAGGUUUUAGGCGGAAAAUGAAAGAUUUCAUAGGUAUUAUCAAAACAUCACUUGUCAAUGCCAUAAGUGUUUGAUCAAAAAGUAUUCAGCUUUUUGUUAAAUUAAUUAAAUAAGAAGAUUUUAGGUAAAUUCUAGCCAAAGAUAAUUUACCUUAGAUCCAAGAUAGAAAAUAAGAGUAAGCAAACAUAGCACACAUAAGAUUUAACUAAACAUUGACCGAAUCCCAUUAUAGAAGAAGAGGAUAGUGACUUUCAUAGUAUUAAACAAUGAUAAAGAAUACAUGGGCAAAAAGGGUCACCGGUCUUUGCAAGGUUAAACCCCGUACAUUUGAUAUGAUGAGACUAACGAUACCUAUCGAGGAUCCGAGCCUCUUUGCUUCUUUCUCCUUCGUGGAGAGAUGAAGAUCUCUCCUCUUCUCAGAAAACAUCUUUGUGUGUGGAUUUGUUUCAGUCCCCCUUUCUUUUUCUUCUCACUCAGUUUAUAUACCAGGUCUUCUCCUUCACCCAACGGUCAUUAACAAUAGUACUUAAGUCGUUUGACUAUAUUACGGGUUGACCCUUCGAAACGCCAUAACAUCCAAUUUACCACUUCAAGCGUUCUGAAUACAUGACGCCGGCCGUGGCCGAGGAGCAUGUCGUUAUAGCAUUGUACGGAUACGAUUUUGGCCAAAAUAACUUUUUGCCGUCCCUUUCUACGCAGGUUCUUGAUUAGUCAGAUUUUGACCCAUACAAUAAGCAUAACGAAAAACAAUCCAACAAUGUUUACAAAUUUGCUGACCUCCAUUUCCUAUGUGUAAAGAGCCCACCUCCAACUGAGAAACAUAUGGAACUUUUGGAGCAAAGGAUGCUCAUGUCUCAAGAAUACCCUAUUAGUUAAUGAUUAAAUAUCCUUAAAAAUGAAGAUUCUAGCUCAUAAUUGUCUGCUGCUCAAAAAGCUUAGUAGACUACAAAUAUACAGAAUCUGACGCAGAAGAAAAAGACAGAAAUUUUUAAGUUUGACCUGGUUCAUUAACAACUUAAUUAAUGGCAUAAAAACGGAUCAGAGUAUGUUAUUUUUAAAUUUGUGGAAGAGAAAAAGUUGUACCUUGAAUAUUUGAAAAGGGAACCAUUAAUUAUAUAAUAAUUAGAAUUAAUUUGUUGGAAUUAUAAAACUGAUACAGCAGUCAGCAAAGGAAAAUGAACUUUAUGCAGUUGAAUUGCAUUAUAGAUUGUUAUGAAAAGAAAAUUUACUAAUUUUCAUAGCGUAUGAGCUAUUCUAAAGUAAGGAGCUAGCAGUAUUUUUUUUCUUUUUUUAACAAGAGGGAGUGGACUUUUAAGGUAUUUGAAUUGGCUUGAUUAAAAGUCUGCUUUAACUCAAUUUUUGACUUAGAGGGUGUUUUGCUAAGCUUAUAAGCUGAUCAAACUGGCUUAUAAGCAUUUUUAGUUUAUCUACGUGUUUGGUAAAACUAAACGUAUUAUAGACCAAAAAUAAGCCAAAAGCCAUAAAUUGUCUCCCCCAACUUAUUAAAUUUUAGUUUAUAAACACUUUAAGUUUGACUAAAAUAUUUACUAUUUUAUCCCUAAAAUACUUCUUUUUAAAACAAAACUCUUCCUAUACCCAGUUCUUCAACUAUUUAUUAUUAAUUUCAACACUUUUAUCCAAACACAUAACUGCUUAUUUUUUUAAAUCAGCUUAAGCACUUAAAAAUGCUUUUCAGCACCUAAUGCUUAUCAGCUACUCUAAAUAAGCGAAGCCAAACGGGCUCUUAGCCUUCCGAAUGAGCUAGCAUGCAAAGAAAAUAUGAAAUAUUGACAUGAAAUUUGUUGAUAAUUAUUAUUAAUAUUUCAUAUUAUUAAUGUUUUGAAAAAUAAUCAUCAACCAAAUAUAUAUCACAAAUAACUUCUAGAAAAAAUACAUUCUAGGAAAAAUAUUUUUCAUAAAAGAUACUACUAUACUUUUAUCGUACUACAGACACGCAACAGCUUGUUUACUAGCUUCUCACUUUUUUUACCUUAUACAAAAGAAAAAAAGAAAAAAACAAGAUUCUAACUUUUAAGUUAUGUAUCCUCUUUUGUCUCUUCUUUUAUAAGGUUUCGAACAGAAAAAGAAUUUGUAAUUAGAUUAUCAGUAUUCUAUGCGUUGCACAACAAAUUCUUUCAAUCACUAUUGAGGGGUAUCGGAAAGUUUAAGGUGUGUAGUUAGAAUUUUAAAAAAAUUAAAUAGUAAUUCUGAUUUAAUAUAUACAUGGAUUUAACCGAACAUGGCUAAGAGAUUAGAUUGAUAAAUAUGUAAUCGCUUUUUUUUUUUCGUGCGUGAUAGAGUGUGAGGUUCGAGAGUAGUACAAACAAAUGCUUUAUUCGAUCACUUUUCGCUAACCUUAGUGAGUGAUGAGAUAGCGCUAUGAUCCAAAUUGAUUUUUUUUUUUGAUUGGCUUCAUCCCGAACGUCCCAUUAACAACAACAACAACAAUUCAGUAUAAUCCUACUUAGUGGGGUCUGGGGAGGAUAUGGUGUACGCAGACCUUACCCCUACCCUGGGGUAGAGAGGUUGUUUCCAAAUAGACUCCCGACAUCCUUCGCUCCAAGAGCUUCUCACGUUGCUCUUGGGGAGACUCGAACUCACAACCUCUCGGUUGGAAGUAUGGGUUGCUUACCAUCAGAGCAACCUCUCUUGUCUUCGAACGUCCCAUUACUAAUUGGGAAAUCUGUUCUGAAAGAGAUGUUUAUUAAAUAAGUGAAUUUCGAUCGAGAAAGACGGAAAUUUAUGAAAGCAUGCUCAUUGCCCCAUGUCUUGCCUACAGGAAACUGCCUUUUUCUUUAUUCGGAUUCUGCUUGAAAUUAGUUCCGUCUUCGCAGCUUUUUUAAGAAGUUCCGCUUCUAGAUCUCAUGGAAUAAGGCAGAAUUUCUAACAAAACUUCUCACCUCUUGCUUUCAUAGAAAAAAAAAUUUAGGAAAUGAAAUUCCGAUUACAAUACUGCAAGUAAAAAUUUUAUUUGAAAGAGCAAGUCAGAGAAAAGAAGCGUUUAGAUAAUACCUUUGAUCACAAAGUCUAUGCGAUAUUUUUCUUGUAAUAAACGGGCAAUGCAAAGCCCCGACGAAAUAAGAAAGAAAAUUAACAAUGCAGGUGCGAGGAGAAUGUCAUAUUUCUAUAUCUUACUCUUUCGUUAACAAUUAGGGUUAGCCAAUGACACCUCUACAUGAAUACAUUCAAAACACAGCAGACCAAGUCUACUUCUAACAUCUAACUGCAACCACCAUUGCAUUCCAUGCACUACUUUUGGUGUGCAAGCAAGUUACGACUGACCAAGUCUGAACUCAAACCGCGUAAAAUAAAAUUUUGGUAUAUAGUAGUAUUAGCCUUAAUCGUCUAAAGACAAUGGUCUUUUCCACUUAUGGUAAUUUUCACAUGAUUUGACUGAGCUAAAUUUGUAAAACUCCUCUGCCUUUGACAAAAUAUGGAAAGUCCAUUCAAUAUCCUCUAGAUAUAUAGUCGGCAUCAUAUGAAUACAAAAAUAAUUGUGGAUUGGAGGAAUGAGUACCACGCAAAGUUCAAACCAAUAUCAAUUUUAUCAGUGUGUUAAUUUAGUCAACAUUUGAUUUGGUCAAAUUAAGGAGGAAUCUUGCUAGCUAAAAGUCCUCUCACGACCCUUAUUUGAAAGCUUUAUUUUUGACUUUUCAUGCUACGUUGUUAUAGGUACAAAGACAAUUAUUGGUUGAAGUGUAUGAUUAUAAAUCCAGAGCUUUAGACACAUCUCUGGGAGGUAGUUACUUUCAAAAGCUGUUAGGAUAUUUACCAGAGCUUUUCAGAUGUAUCAAAGAUGCCACUUCCUGAUUCUUUUCAUUCAGUUUGUCUCUAUCAUUAGCUUUUGCUACCACAUAAUGCCAAUAAGUGGUCAAGAUGAAACCAAUGCCAUAAAGAAGGCGGAUGUGGGUAUAAUUCUUGAUCUGGAAACAAAUGUGGCAAAAGUAAUGCACACAUGUAUAUUACUAGCUCUUGAAGAUUACCAUGCCGCUAAUGGCAGUGCCAUUAGGAUUGUCCCUCACUUCAGGGAUUCGAAGAAAGAUGAUGUUGAAGCAGCAUCCGCAGGUAAAUUCAGCUCGUGAUUUACUGCUUUAAACUAGCAUAUCUUACUUUGAUUCACAAGUCAUACUCCGGUAUUAUGGAUACUUGCACAAGAUAUUGUCUUUUUUCUCCAAUAUACUCUUAUUUUCACUGGUUUUCCUAUUUUGAAAGGGAUGUUCAGACAAUAUCUUACAGCCUAAUUGUGUAUGUGCAGCCAUAUACUUGCUAAAGGAUGUCCAAGUACAAGCUAUCUUUGGGCCACAAAUGUCUACACAAACUGAUUUUGUGAUUGACAUAGGCAACAAAGUAAAGGUUCCUGUCAUUUCUCCAGCAACAAGUCCUUCACUUUCAGUAAAGGAAAAUCCCUACUUCAUUAGAGCAGCACUUCCUUCUUCCAGCCAGACUAAAGCCAUAGCAGCAAUUGUUAAAAAUUAUGAGUGGAGGGAGAUUGUAAUCAUCUAUGAGGAUAGCCCCUUUGGAACAGGUAUAGUUCCACAUUUGACUGAUGCUUUACUGGAAAUUAGCACUUUAGUCUCCUAUAGAAGUGUUAUCUCUCCUUCAGCCAAUGAUGAUCAAAUCCUCAAGGAGCUAUACAAGUUGAAUACAAUGCAGACGAGGGUAUUCGUCAUGCAUCUGCAACCAUUUCUUGCCUCCCGGCUUUUCCUCAAGGCCAAAGAAGCUGGGAUGAUGAACAAUGGAUAUGCGUGGAUCAUCACAGAUGUGCUAACAAGUGUUCUGGACUCGGUAGAUCCUUCAGUGAUUGAGUCAUCAAUGCAAGGUGUUCUUGGUUUAAAGCCUUAUGUUCCAAGAUCAAAUGAGCUUAACAAUUUCACCAAGAGAUGGAGAGAGAGAUUUCGUCAAGAGUAUCCAAACAUGGACCAAGUUGAACUCAAUGUUUACGGGCUAUGGGCAUAUGAUAGCAUUACCGUCUUAGCAAAAGCAGUACAGAAUGUGGGCGCAACUGCCAUCCCAGAAGUCAAGAAACCAGAUGCUAAAGAGAACUUAUCGGACUUGGAUGCACUUGGAACUUCAGAAUUGGGAUCUUUGCUCAUUGACACUCUGCAAAAUACAUCCCUAAAAAGGGGACUAAGUGGUGAUUUCCGUAUAAUUGAUGGAGAAUUGCAGCCAUCUCCAUAUCAGAUAGUGAACAUAAUUGGGAAAGGAGAGAGAAGCAUUGGAUUCUGGACACAGAGUGAUGGAAUUUCAUAUAAACUGACUAUGAAUGGGAAAAUAGCUAAGAGUAAUAAUAAGCAUCUAGGUACCAUCAUUUGGCCUGGUGAAUCGACUAUUGUUCCAAGAGGCUGGGAGAUGCCCACAAGUGGGAAGAAGUUAAGGGUUGGAGUUCCUGUCAAAGGAGGCUUGGAGCAAUUCAUCAAAGUGGAAAUAGAUUCAAAAACACAAGCAGUAACUGCAACUGGUUUCUGUGCAGAUGUCUUCAAAGAAGUCAUCCAAUCUUUGCCAUUUGCUGUUCCUUACGAUCUUAUUCCAUUUCGAAUACCAGAUACCCUAACUCUUCCAGACUAUGAUGAUCUUAUUUACAAGAUCUCUUCCAAGGUAAUAUAUAAUCCUUGUUUGAAUUAACGUCUUUGGUUGAAUACCUUACUCACAUGCUCUCUCUUGGGACUUUCUUAUCUACUUUCAGAUUUUUGACCCACCAUAAUUAAUGCAAUAAACAUUGUUUGCUUGAACCAGGAAUACGAUGCAGUUAUAGGUGAUGUGACCAUUUUAGCGAACCGAUCCAAGUAUGUGGAUUUCACAUUACCUUUCACGGAGUCGGGUAUUUCUGCAGUAGUGCCAGUAAGGGAUGAUGAGAGGAAGAAUGCUUGGAUUUUCUUGAAACCUCUAGAGACCGAACUUUGGAUAACAACUGGAGCAUUCUUCGUCUACAUUGGUUUUGUGGUUUGGGUACUCGAGCAUCGUGUAAACAAAGAGUUUCGAGGACCCAAACACAAGCAAGUUGGCAUGAUAUUCUGGUUUUCCUUCUCAACUCUCGUUUUUGCACACAGUAAGUCUCUUACUUAAAACACAGUAUAUAUGAAACCUUUACAUUCUCCUCCUUUCUCAACAAAUGAUAUGGCUGGUUGCUGCAGGAGAGAGGGUAACAAGCAACUUAACAAGAUUCGUGAUUAUUGUGUGGGUUUUUGUGGUGCUGGUGCUGACAUCAAGCUAUACAGCCAACCUAACAUCUACGUUAACAGUACAACAGCUCCAACCUACUGUAACAAACCUCAAUGAUCUCAUAACAAAUGGAGAAUAUGUUGGGUACCAAGAAGGUUCCUUUGUCAAAGACGUCUUGAAGCGCAUGAAUUUUGAUAGCUCCAAGUUUAAGAGUUAUAGUACAUUGGAAGAGUACAACGAUGCCCUCUCAAGAGGAAGUAAAAAUGGGGGAGUUGGUGCAAUUGUUGAUGAACUACCUUAUCUGAGACUUUUCCUCAACAAGUACUGCCGGAAGUACAUUAUGGUCGGUCCAACUUACAAGGCUGCUGGCUUUGGAUUCGUAAGAUUCUCGCACUCCAGUGGUGUUUUGGAAUGCUUUUACAGUUUUAGACAGGAUUGUAGUUUCAACAAUCUAAUCCACUUUUUCUCCAUAACUUCUUGCAGGCAUUUCCAAAAGGAUCUCCAUUGGUACCUGACGUCUCGAGAGGAGUCCUAAAGGUGAUGGAGGGAGAGUUUAUGAAUAACAUAAUACAGAAAUGGCUUGGGAAUGAAACAAACUGUCCAGAGAAAGAUGGAAUGGCUACAACAUCUGAUAGCCUCACACUAGAUAGUUUUAAGGGUCUUUUCCUCAUAGCUGGUGUAUCAGCAAGUUCCGUUCUUCUCAUAUUCCUCCUCAUACUCUAAUGUAUUGCACUUUGCUAGAUAGUUUUAAGGGCCUUUUCCUCAUAGCUGGUGUAUCAGCUGGCUCCGCUCUUCUCAUAUUCUUCCUCAUCUUCCUUUAUCAGAAUAGAGAAAUCUUAGACACUGAUGAUUCAAUAUGGCAAAAACUUUCUACAAUAGCUAAAGUCUUUGAUGAAAAGAAAGAUAACUCUAAUUCUAAGUCAGAAAUGCCAGAAGGCAAUGAGAGCCAAACGGCUACACCUUUUGCAGCAAGUGCAGCUUCCCCUGAAAUAUUGCUCCAUCUUGCUUCGCAAUGCCCAGAAAUCAGAAUUUCCGACAGCCUAGGAGCAUCCCAUGCAGAAGAAGGGUUUUCUACACCAGAACCUGGAACUCCAGUUCAUGAAACCCUUAUAUUGACAAAUGAAGAGAGAUGAUACAUAUAGCUGCUACUAAAAUAAUCAACACAACUGAAUAGGGCUCUACAAGAGAUUGUAAAGAGAUGACCUAGCUUUAGGGUUAGUUAAACCAUAUUACAUUAUAACCUUGUCCCUCUUGGCCAUAAUAGUUGUAUCAAGAGGCAGUUCCAGAAUUUAGAUAUGAUAGGUUCAACAUUUAAGUUCUUACUAUUGAAUUCAUUGCACUUUUGUAAUUACAGAUUCGUAAUUAAAAUUUGUUGAAAUUCUACUACUUUUCCACUUUGUAUACGAUCAAAAUCGGAGAGCUCGAUUUCGAAAUAUUGAUCAUACCCCGAGCUCGAGUUUCGAAGCUCGAAGUAAGAAUCAAGCCUGGAUUGGAUGUGCCCACCUCGAGAAGCAAGUCGGAGACCUGUCAUGAUCUGCAUCGAGGGCAGGACAAAUUUGACGGCGCUCAAGAAAGAACGGGAAUUCCCCAAAGAACACGUGGGUCAGGGUAUAAAGCAAGGGAUAAGAUUUGUACGAAAUAAUACAAAUCCAUACUAGGUUGUAAUACAAAUCCAUACUAGGUUGUUAUACAGUUGUACCAAUAGAAUUCUUUGCCACAAUUAGAAAUAUACCACAUUAGGAUUUUCCCCUUCUAUAUAAAAUGGACCCCAAUCUUUGUAAAACACAUCUAAUUUCAUUCAUUGCAAUAUAAUAUUCUACUUUGCUUUUCUUGUUUACCGUGCUCAGUAAUUAUUCUUCAGCUUUAUUGUUCAUACUUUAUCGCACUUAGCUCACCUCGAGCCCCCUGAGAUAAUCAAGCUCGAGGUCCUUAUUACUCUAACAACACUGGUUUGGCUCAUCAAUUCUUUUUACUUAAACUUAAUAUUAUUCACACAUUCACUCGUAUUGGAAUAAAUCACAUAUCUUUAAAACUAAAAAAUCAUAUUUAAUUUUUACUCAUAUUUUUCGAGAUAAACACACAUAUUUAUGUUCCAUGUCGAAAUUACUGGGUUCAGAAGUUGAACCCAAUAAAUAAGGAAGCAUCUGCCUCUGUUUUCAUCAAGGUUUUCGGGUGGGCAAACGAAAGAUUUCGGAGGAAUAGGAACAGAACAGCACUUAUCAGUACUUACGGACCACUUUCAGACGCCACAAGCGUAACUGAAACAAUCUAACAAAAUUACGAAUUUGCUAACCGAGAAACAAAUGGAAGUUUUAGGGUAAAAUCCACAGAGAAAAAAGAUGCCAACUUUAGCUCAAAAGUUGCUUGCAAUGCAAAAACAUAUUAAACUACAAAUGAUACAGACUGAUGUAGAAGAAAAAAACAGCAAAAUCUAAGUUGAACUGGUUAAUGAAAAACUUGAUCAAUGACGUAAAAAGGAUCAGAAUAUGUUACUUUAGAACUUUGAAAGAGAAAAUGGGACCUGGAAUAUUUGAGAAGGGAACCAAUUAUCUCCUCUGCAUUCCCAUCAGUGUUUAUGUUACAAUUCUGCAGUAAGAUGUGUCGAUAUCCCCUCCCAUGGCGGCAGAUUCAGUCAAGUAGGAAGCGGAACUGACGGCAUAGUGAUGAAGAAACAGUAGGAGAUUUCCCCCGCUGUUAGUUGACGGUAACGGAGAGAG
rnacentral:lncRNA from 1 species